CAGAAAGCGACAGCAGCAUACAAUUUGCCAAUAUUUGUUUCCCUUGAUUCUGAGAUUAUUAGUAAAACACAGCAAUGAUUAUUGAUUUAACGCCCGCCCUUCCACAUCUGUUUCGUCAGGGGGGGCAUUUAGGGUCGCAGGUGAGGCAGUUUCGUUGGCAAUCUGAUUGUGUUGGCCAACACCUUUCGGGCUUCAAACAGCAGUAGCACUCGAGGAAACAAUCACCCAGUUGUCUUCUGCAAAAGGCCACUAUGAACUUUUUCUCAUGUAAUGUCGAGUUGGCUGCAGUAGCAUUCGUACUUGUAUUGGCAAGACUACUAGGAGAAUCACUUCUUGUACCUCCGGCCUUGAGCAGCUGUCGGCGACCUGUUAAUUGUAACAUUUUGAGUUUUUCAGUAUGACAAUCCAUGUAAAAAAAUUCAUUGUAAAGGUAGUGAGACAAGCUAGGUUUGCGAGGAGACUAGAUGGUGGUGGGUACUUACACUGUGUUGGCAAAGAGAGGCAUCCACAGAGCACAAGGAACAAGACGGUCACCUUGCAUGAUAGACUGCCACUGCCUAUACUCCUCAUAUUGAAUCGCAAUGUACCAGCCUCUCACUCGAUUAGUGUCUAGAUGUGAGCAAUGGCCUUGU
rnacentral:lncRNA from 1 species